GACGGAGGGGGCUAGCGUUGUUCGGAAUUACUGGGCGUAAAGAGCACGUAGGCGGCUUAACCAGUCAGGCGUGAAAGCCCCAGGCUUAACCUGGGAACUGCGCUUGAUACUAUUAAGCUUGAGUUCGGGAGAGGAAAGUGGAAUUUCUAGUGUAGAGGUGGAAUUCGUAGAUAUUAGAAGGAACACCAGAGGCGAAGGCG
rnacentral:rRNA from 1 species